rnacentral:sRNA from 1 species
AAUGCGUGCUCAGUUAUGGCAAACAAACUCACUCAGCACUGAUUGGAUUCCAGGCUCCAUGGUCCCCUUCUCGAUGCGCAUCUUGCACGCGGAGCUUCAGCAGUACCUGGGGAACCCACAGGAGUCGCUGGAUAGACUGCACAAGGUGAAGACUGUCUGCAGCAAGAUCCUGGCCAAUUUGGAGCAAGGCUUAGCAGAAGACGGCGGCAUAAGCAGCGUGACUCAGGAGGGCAGACAAGCCUCUGUCCGGCUGUGGAGGUCACGUCUGGGCCGGGUGAUGUACUCCAUGGCAAACUGUCUGCUCCUGAUGAAGGAUUAUGUGCUGGCCGUGGAGGCGUAUCAUUCGGUUAUCAAGUAUUACCCAGAGCAAGAGCCCCAGCUGCUCAGCGGCAUCGGCCGGAUUUCCCUGCAGGCCGAGCACAGGGCAGCUUCUGCCCCUCUCACCCUCAGUCUUAGGUCACGUCCCAAACCUGGGCCAGGGAAAGGAGGCACGAGCAAGGGACGGCUGAGCGGGGAGAAGCAGCACAGACCUUCCACAGGCACCCACUCACGCGCGUUCCUUCACCUCGGGCAGAAUA